ensembl:lncRNA LARP4B-DT LARP4B divergent transcript
GUUUCCGUGAGGAUGGUGACGACUCCGAACUAUAGCAGCAUACUCUACCUACCCCUGAUCAGUUUAUGGAAGAAAAGGAAACCAAACAAAAUCUAGAUUUAUUACAAGAAGUCCAUGAUGGAGACAGCUCAGGAAUGGAAGAGACUCAAGCCCAAAGAUCAGAAGAACCUCUGUCCUGGAAGUCGGUUCUCUUUCCAAUGGAACAGCCUCUGCAAAGUGUACCACACGAUGAGUUAAUAUAUCUCACUUUUAGAAAGAAAGAUACUGAUAUGCCACUGAUGUGGUUUGGAUGUGCGUCCCUCCACCCCCACCCACAGUCCCAUGCUAGAAGUGUCACUCAUAUUCAGCUUUGAAUCAGUGGGGAACCCAUACAGGAAGAUCAUAAUAAAUAUGGAAAAUUCUGAUAA